GCCUGGGUGGCUCAGUCGGUUGAGCGUCCGACUUCAGCUCAGGUCAUGAUCUCACAGUUUGUGGGUUCAAGUCUUGCUUUGGGCU
rnacentral:tRNA from 1 species